rnacentral:rRNA from 1 species
AUUGAACGCUGGCGGCAUGCCUUACACAUGCAAGUCGAACGGUAACAGGGUGCUUGCACCGCUGACGAGUGGCGAACGGGUGAGUAAUACAUCGGAAUGUACCCAGUAAUGGGGGAUAACGCUUCGAAAGGAGUGCUAAUACCGCAUACGCCCUGAGGGGGAAAGUGGGGGACCGCAAGGCCUCACGUUAUUGGAGCAGCCGAUGGCUGAUUAGCUAGUUGGUGAGGUAAAGGCUCACCAAGGCGAUGAUCAGUAGCGGGUCUUAGAGGACGAUCCGCCACACUGGAACUGAGACGCGGUCCAGACGCCUACGGGAGGCAGCAGUGGGGAAUCUUGGACAAUGGGCGAAAGCCUGAUCCAGCAAUGCCGCGUGCGUGAAGAAGGCCUUCGGGUUGUAAAGCGCUUUUGUCUGGGAGCAAAUCCUGGCCUCUAAUACAGGUCGGGGAUGAGAGUACCAGAAGAAUAAGGACCGGCUAACUACGUGCCAGCAGCCGCCGCCGUAA